ensembl:miRNA
GGAUGCCACAUUCAGCCAUUCAGUGGUGUACAGUGCCUUUCACAGGGAGGUGUCAUUUAUGUGAACUAAACUAUAAAUGUCACCUUUCUGCGAAGGGUAAUGUACAUCAUGCACUGCAUAUGUGGUGUCC